rnacentral:sRNA from 1 species
AAAUAUUUUAGUUGAACUUGAUAAACAUAUAUUACAAUACAAAAAAAAAGGGAUUGAGAUUUAGAUUACAUGAGCAUCAGAACCGUCUCUAAGCGCAGAAUCUCCUCUCCAAGUAACUCUUUGGUUCGAAGGCAAUUUUCCAGAACGUUGAGCUUCGAAAUACAAAAGACUCUUUGUGAGAGCGUCUCCAUAAUUUCUAGAGACAGCUCCACGAGCCAUCGACAAUACAAAUAACACAAUGCAAAUACUUGUCCAUAAGCAUUGUGAAGAUCCAAUUUUCAGUUGAGACAUCGUUUUUUUAAAUAAUCUUUAGACGAUCUCAAGACCAAUUGUAGAAUUGAUUUGAUUUUCUCUUGUGUUUGGCAUAUCUAUGUAUAUGUCCGUGUUCAACUAUUUAUAGAGAAUCUAUAUAAGAUGGAAUCCAUGGCUAAUUAAGGAUCAUUAACAUUCGUAGUUCUUACUCAAAAAUAAAUUAGCUAA